GGAGAGUGUCACCCACAAAAUUAUUGCCCCGAGAAGUCCAAUGAAUUUUGUGCUUGAGGCUGCCCGAAUGGAUGUCAAUUGGUGUGUGUCCAAUAGUGGCCGAGGCAAUGAGAUUGCAUGGCCGAAUUAUUGUGGGAAAAAUGGUUCGGCUGGAAAUUGGGUUGUGCAUGGAAAUAGUUCACAUGAGAAGUGGACGUGAAUUGCAUGUGCAUUGAAACAUGCUAAUUGGUGCGCAUGAAUAUUGCUAAGUGGAGGACGUGAAUUGCAUGGGUCAUGCAAGGGGAACCUUCACGUGAGAUGUGUCAUUUGCAUGGGAAUUGUGAGUGGCGCACUAAAUGGGCAUUAGUGGAGAUUCAUGUGCAUGUGGAUGGCUUGGGUUCACAUGAAGAACAUGCAUGGAAUUGUGGUAAGUGGGGCUUAUCACGUGGGGCAAGUGGCCUAAUAUUUGUGCAUGGUGAAGUGACCCAAGUGUAGCGCACUAAUUUGGCCUAAAUGGGGAAUUGCAUGU
rnacentral:misc_RNA from 1 species